UUCUAUCAUGUAGCACAAUUUCUGACACACAAAACAUACAAUAAACUUGUGUUAAUUUUUCUAUCAAAGUCAGAAUUUAUUCAUAAGGAAUCUGAAGUAAGGUGUACUAAGCUUGUUUAUGGGUUAAGUGAUAUAGCCAAAUUCAAAACUUUACUUUUUAUGUCAGUCUAGAAAUAUCUCAGAUUAAAACAUAUCACUUCUUAGUUCCAAUUAGAUAAGGGAAAUCUUUUAUAAUAAUGCCAGGAUUGCUAUAAUCUGAUAGGAGACAACAAUUUCAUUUUGCUACAGGAAAAUUUGGAGGACAAAAAAAAAAAAAGAAAACAUAAGAUAGAGGAGAGAAAAUAGUCAGAUGAAGAAGCAAAAAACACAAACAAGGCAUUUAGAUUUGUUAGGAAGGAAUUCAAGUCAGUCAGUAAAGUGAUAACUUUUGAAUUAUCUGAGAAAAAUAUACUCAGAACAAAAUCAGGCACACUAAAGGUAUCCAUAAUCCACAUUAUUUACUAGGCUAAAGGUAAGUACAAACAAAUCUACAUGGACUAAUUGUAUCACAGAACAAAAAGGGUAGCAAAAUCCAGUAAUUCCAAUGGAGUAAUAAAGUUGCAGACAAAGGAAAAUUAACGUGUGCAUUGCUUGAGAUAUGACUAAAAUGUCAUUAAAAUAAAUUCUAAGUUAUGAAUAUUCAUUUGAAAAGUUACAAAGUACACACUGAUUUAUAUUUCAGAAGCAAGGAUAUAUGUUUCUAUAUAAUUUAGUCCUAAAUAUAGUUCAUUUCCUAUGCUAAUGCUUUUUUCCUUCUUCUUACCUUCUUAGGUCAACAACAAGAGGCCAGGACCUCCCAAGAAAAGCUUUACUAAUGUAAUAGCUUUGGCCAAGUCCACCCAAUAUAUUUUCCUCUCUGCAAAGAGAAACAAGCUAUUGUCUCAUCUUAGGUUUCAUCUUCUUCCAUGCCACUGUUAUUCAUGUUCAAAUCCUGGCUGUCCUUCAGGGUCCAAUUCAAAUGAUUAUCGCCAUUUUCUAUUAAUGUCAUUUCUUCCUAUUUUCUACCUUUUGUUAGCUAUGUUAAAGUGUUUCUUUACCAACAUCCCCCAUAUAUUGUGUAACACAGUGUCUAUGGCUUACUCAUUUUUGAAUCCUUAUCAUGACCUGACAUAAUGAAGAUUCUUAGUACAUAGUGAUACAUGUAAAUAUGAGUUAAUUAGUACAUGAUAGACUUGAUUUCCAGAAUGAUUUUGUAUAGUUGAAUUGUGUAGUAAGGGGACACAUGUGAAAUGAAGACUUUAGUCAGUAUCAAGAAGAUAUUUUGGGUGACUUCACAUAUCUGCCAAUGAUAAAUCUAGAAACAAUAGGUGCUUGGGUAGGUGAUUUCCUUUUGCCUUCUUUAUCAUUGUUUUCCCAGUAUUUCUUACAUUCAUCUAAUUUCAUUAGAUGCCCAUAUACUUUAUACUGGCUCUUCCUGUGAGGUUCGAACUGGUCCAGUCCAUUUGUUUUCAGAAUUGAUUCAUCUGGAGAGUCAUCUCCUAUCCUCCCAAACAAUGAUAUACCAGUCUGAGGACUGUGUAGAAGGGACUUCUCUUUCUACUCAGUAUGACCAAAAUAAUUCAAUUCUAGUUGUGGUGUGUGAUUUAUGAAUAUUUUGUCCUUUAGUUUGUGUGAGCCAAUUUUGUGCCAUAAGAAUUUUAGCCUCCUUUUCCACAAAAGAGUGAUUUAAUCAAACAAAAGUUGACAAUCAAUGUAGUACAUUUGUGUGACAGUGAUUAAACAUGGUGUUUUUCUCUUAGGUGUCUGAGUAGAUUUGGAAAUGCCCAUUCAGCCCUCAGAGCUCCUCUGCUUUAAGGGUGAUGGACUUCCUGUACCACUACGUAGUGCAUGAGUGCCAGCCACUGGUAUCUAGAACUGUGAUUAGUGAGGAAACACUAGGAGGAACAAACAACCCAACUCUUUUUAUCUAAUCUGUUGACUCCAAAGGGACCUUCUGCUUAUUCCAGUUAAAACUCAAGCUGCAAUUCAAAAUGAAAUCAGUAUCUUUUUUCUCUACUUUUCAGCAAAGCAAGAUGCUACCUUAUAAUUACCACGUAACAAUCAAUCGCAAACAUAGUGGCUUAAAGCAGCUCCUCUUUUAGCCUACAUAUCUGCAAACUGGCAGUCUGGACUGAGCUCAGCUGGAUGUUUUUUCUGAGCUGAUCAUGUAUGUAGGGUCUGCUGCUGGCUGGUUUAGACUGAUGGUGGAUGAGAAACCACAUGAAGAAGAGAGGCAUGAUGGUGGCAGAGUUCUGAAAGAGUCACACAGAAGGGCGUUGAGUUCGUGGCUUGAAAAUAGCAUCCUGUCACUUCUACCACAUUCUAUUUACCAGGCCAGCCCAGAUAAAGAUGUGAAGAAACAGACUCCAUCUCUUGAUGGGAGAAGUUGAAAAUCAAUGGAAAAUGGCAUGGAUAAGGAAAGGAGUGAUGAUUGUGGCCAUAUUUGUAAUGGCCAUAUUUGAUACCCUUUUCAGUUUUCCUAGCCACACUUCUCAUUGGCCAGGAAAAUUAAAUGCAUGUCAACACUGAAGAAAACAGAUCUUGGUUAAAAGCAAUGAUGUAGCUAAUAUCCCGUUCAGGUAAAAGAUUACUUAUAUAGUGUGAGACAGGCAUGAGGCAGAGAAGUGCUUACAGGUUGGUUUCUGCUUUGUUAGCAGAUUUACUUUUAGAUCAUAUACUACUUUGUUUUUACUGUUUUAUUGAGAAAAAAUAACAAAUAUUUCCAAAAUUUUGCAGCAUGCAACUCAGUGCUUCAGUUGGCAUUCAAUCAAAAUUUCCUUGAAAUAAAAAAAGACAAGAGAGAGACUUGGAAUUAUGACUCUUCUACUAGAUUAGCUCCUUCAUGUCAAAAUCUGUCAAGUUUAUGAUUUAUUCAGAUAGCACUUGUUUUUGGUGUAAUAACUAAACUGUUGCUUUAGAGUCUACUACAUUCUCCUCUAUUAUUUGGCAUUUUUCUCUUUAUUAUUUUGUUCAAGUAGGAUAUUGUGCUGAGUUGAACCAUGAAAUGAAUUGUAUUGAGCAACAUCAACAACAUAAAUAUUCUGGGGUGUCAUCUGCAUUUUCAUAUCUGGCUGCUCAAAUUCUUUUUACAGCUAUAGCUUUGAUAAUAAUGUAAUAGCAUAAUGUUUUUCAUUAGAUAUCAAAUCAUAGAAGACAACAAAGAUGUGUUAAGUUAGCAUAGUUUAAUAUAAGGAAACAACAGCAUCAGUAAAAGCAUUGAGCACUAAAUAUCUCUUCCAUUUCAGUUCUUUUACAGGAAGCUUUUGUUACGUGUUGUCAGCACAUUGCUGUGAUGCUCAAGUAUAGCUCUUUAAUGUGAAAACCUGGUAUUUGGGCAUGGCUUGAAGCAGGUGGGUGUCAUUGUGACUGGCUGCUACCUCCCCAUGAGUCUUCUAAAAUAAAACCUGCAAAUUCACAUCUUCCCCAUGCUUCCAGAGAAUGCAUAUUCUUCCUUUGAAAAAAGAAAACCAGGUAGUCGUACAGUGUCCAGAAGGCAAAAGGACAAGUAUGCACUGCCCUACUUACCUACUUUCCACACUGCUGCACAGGAAAAUCUGACAGAGGACAAUAACAAACAUCUCACCAGCUCAUGCGUUCUUUUUUGAUCCUAAUUCCGAGAGACUCACCAAAGACAUGAAGAGAAAACAAACAAUACUUUUCUUGGAAAUAUUGUAAUUGCUGGUACAUUUGUUGUUCUGGCAUAAAGUAGAAAUUGUCAGUUACCAGAACAAUACUCAGUGAACUUAUGAAUAUAUGGUAAAUAUUAAACACAUCCCACUUGGAUGAGAAGAUAUGUGAGUCGAUGAGUAUAGCUAAGUCUAAAGUUAGAUGUGUUCCAUAAACAUAGUGUUUAUGGAGUUGGUGCAUAUUCAC
rnacentral:lncRNA from 1 species